CAUCACUGCAGCACUCCACUCAUGAGAGUCAUCCCAGCAUGUUUCCGUGAUGGCAACUACGUCAUAGCUUUUCUGCAGCACAAUGGCUUCCUCCUGUUUGUUACCUAUGCUACGUGCAUUGGUGUAAAUGCACUUCACCUGGGCUAUUGAUUUCACCCCCAACACUGGCAUGGCUAGACUCAUCUCUGCUAAGCAUGGUCUUAUCACCUUCCCACUUCAGAUCUAGUUUAAAGCCCUCUCAAUCGGCCCUGCCAACUCAGAGGCUGGAAUCUUUUCCCCCACUUUUAGACAGACGAGCCCCAUCUGUCUUCAGCAGGCUUCAUGCCGUAUAAACCACCCAAUGAUCAAAAAAGCCAAAAUUCCACCGAUGGCACCAGUCUUUGAGCCACAUAUUGAUCAUGUGGGUUCUCCUGUCCUUUCGGCAUUCUUCCCCGAAUUGAGGAAAGCAACGCAUGUGCUCCUGUCCUUACAACCAGUCAUCUCAGUGCCCCAAAGUCCUUUUUGAUUUCCCUAGAACUUCUCCCUUCAGCGUUGUCACUGCCAACCUGGACAACAGCAGUGAAUAAUAAUCAGAGUGCUGAAUCAAUUCAGGGAGCUUUCUAGUAAAAUCUUCUACUCAGGCCCCAUGGAGGCAUCGGACUUCUUUGUGGGAUGGGUCCAGUUGGCACACAGGCACCUCAGUUCCCCUCAGAAUGGAGUCACCUACAAAAAAUCCUUUUAUAUGCCCAAGGGGGACAUACCAUUUAAAAUUGAGUAUUUCUUUGAUUUCCUAAUGACAUAGCUGAAGAAAAGUCUGGCCCUGUGCUCCUUGGAGGAAGGAAAUGUUAAAUUAUUUUCAACUGCAGCUUCUCACUGCAACAUUUUGUUUGAUGCAGGUUAAUGGCUAACUGCUAAGAAAGAGGACUUCUCUGUUUCAGUAGUCUAAUGGGAUUUUUGGCAACCUGCUUGUUAGAAGGAUUGUUUUCUUUAAUAAUAUUGCUGUAGGAAUGCAUCUUUAAGUAUCCCACUGUAUUAUUUUGACACAACCUUUAUACCUUUCAAGGUUAUAGUUUCUGGAAUUCUUUUUCUCCUGAUAAAAAGCAACGUUGCUGGGUAUGCUUUUUCUAUCAAACCUUGAUGGAUGAUCAGGAAAAAAAGCUGAUAUGUUCAAUGGCUUGAUAAUUUCAGGGUCAAAACAGAUUUUACUUGUUGAUCUUUCACUUCCUGAUGCAUCUUUUUGACCAAGCAGCUGGUGUAUAAGAUCUAGCUGGCAGCACACAGAACACAUUAGAAAAACAAAGAGAAUGUGAGAUUAAACUGAAAAGAGACAAGAAUAGCAUUUCCUCACUGUUCUGCAUGAAGACAGAAGGUGCUCCGAGAGGAUACAAACUCAGUUUUCAUAUUGGAACUAUGGCCUCUUCCCCCCAUCAGAUUAUUCAAAGAUUGCAAGACCAGGAAGGUUUGGAUGCUGUGAAUGGGGAUGAAGAGAGAAAGUGGGCCCCUCCCUUUCACAGUGGAGCUACAUCCUGGGAACAGCCAUGUCAGCAGGUAAAGGAACUAUGGGAAGAAGUGAAUAGGCUACACAGUAUUAAAGAAAAGGACUCAGUGAUCUUGGUGGUUUACUUCCAACUCAGAAUAUUCUGCGAUUCUUUCAUUCUCUGACAAAGUUGAAGGAGGAGCAACUCUGUGGUCCUUGUGUUGCUUCAGAAAAAUGAUUUGAUUUUCUGGAUGCUGAAUGACUCUACCAAAAAUUCAUGAAUUCUGUGGCAAUUAUUGUUUUCUCUGGAGACUGCUAUGAGAUCAUCAGAAAUGCUGAAUGUUAUGUGUGGAGAUGAGAGCUGCAGGGGACAAAAAAUAACUGAUUUAUUGGAAAACCUAAUAGACGAGUAAUAUGUGGGAGGAGAAGAGAGAAAGGAGAUGAAGACUGCAAGGAUGUUAUUUUGUCAUUUCAAUCUCAUAUUUAUUUUAUUUAUUUUUUAAUACCAAUGAGACAUGUCUCAGCUCUUCCCUGGGACACAACAUGACCUCCCUGGACAUCCGGCCUGUGGAAGGACAAGGAGGUUCUGGAUCUACUGAGCUUUAAUGCAAAAGUUGGACUUGAAAAGGCUGAGAUGAUGACAGUUCUUACACCAGAUUUGGAUGCAUCUUCAGCAAGGAUGCAGCUCUGGGCUGCCAGGCACCAGACUGAGCCCUGACAGGACCAGCCUUCGCCUUGCUGAAGACUUGGGAAUGAGAUCAGGCAGCGCUGUCGGCGGAGGGGCUCGGGACAAACUGCAAAUGACCAAUGUGAUCUGCAAAAUGUCUGCUUUAUCUACAAAAAGAUACCCUCUAUAUACUUUUACUACACCCCAGCACAUGAUUUCUCUUCUAUUAUUGGUUACAUGAAAGUGUUCACAAUGUAAACAUGCCCUUUUGACCACUUCUAAUUGGAUUAUUGGAGGUGUCCACACGAGGUGAGGACAUAUGUUUAACUCUUGGGACUCCACCUCAAUUUUGGCACAGAUCCUUCUUUGUUUCAGCUUUAGAGCCUGAAGCCAUAAUGAUUGUGCAGCUUUUUUACUGUCUGUGCCUGGCCUUGUCAAGGCAAGGCCCACAAAAAAUGCAGAGGAAAUUUCUCACACAAUCCUGCUCUCCUGACACAGUACCUUGCACUUAUAGGGGUCUCUAUCAAUGCAGGAAACUUCUCUAUCUAUUAUGCUCUACAAAUAAACAUUGCUUAUUACAAA